GACGAACGCUGGCGGCGUGCCUAAUACAUGCAAGUCGAGCGGACUUUCAAGAAGCUUGCCUUUUGAAAGUUAGCGGCGGACGGGUGAGUAACACGUGGGCAACCUGCCUGUAAGACGGGGAUAACUCCGGGAAACCGGGGCUAAUACCGGAUAAUAUCUUUCUUCGCAUGAAGGAAGGUUGAAAGGCGGCGCAAGCUGCCGCUUGCAGAUGGGCCCGCGGCGCAUUAGCUAGUUGGUGAGGUAACGGCUCACCAAGGCGACGAUGCGUAGCCGACCUGAGAGGGUGAUCGGCCACACCGGGACUGAGACACGGCCCAGACUCCUACGGGAGGCAGCAGUAGGGAAUCUUCCGCAAUGGACGAAAGUCUGACGGAGCAACGCCGCGUGAGCGAAGAAGGUCUUCGGAUCGUAAAGCUCUGUUGUCAGGGAAGAACAAGUACCGUUCGAAUAGGGCGGUACCUUGACGGUACCUGACCAGAAAGCCACGGCUAACUACGUGCCAGCCGCCGCGGUAA
rnacentral:rRNA from 1 species